GUGGUGGGAGGGAGAGCCACAGGAGCCAGUCCUGCCACAAAGGAGCCACAGAGCCCCUCAGCAUCAGCAGGGCUGCCCGGAGUCCCUGUCCUCUGUGGGUACCUAUGCCCUGCCUGCACAUUAGGGAGAAAAAGUUCCACAGCUCAGGAAAGUGUUCCAGGACUGCACUAAGGUAAUCCUAAUUCACCACUCCUGCCAUUUCCCACCUCAUUUGGAAGCCUGUCUUACUUUUGCUCAGGGAGAUGUUGCUGCAAAGUCACCGUCCAAAGUAGGCAAAGUCAGCCACGUACCCUGGAAGAAAUGGACAUCAGAUGUGACAUGGGCCUCUCUGUCUCAGCCCCAGUCAUUCAACAAGUAUUUAUGAGUCUCUGGUGUGUUGUGGACCCUGUGUCAGGCCUGAGGAUAUGGCCAGGAGCUGAUAGGGGGACAUGCCUCAGUGGAGCUCACCAUCAGUAACUUCUACACUCAGACACUACAUCCCUUUACCUUUCAGAUCACCCCACUGCUCUCAGAACCAGCCUUUCAAGGACUCUGGAUUCUUCCACUGUCUUUCAAGGCCAAGGAGCAGAAGAAUGGAUGGGACUUGAAGAUGGCAGCAGAAAGUAGGGAGACGCCGCGAGCAAGCCGAGCGAGCUGAGCCGGGAGUGGCAACGGGAGCCCGAACGCGCGGACGCCGGAGCGCGCGCUGGAGCAGGCGAUGGAGCCUGGGUUGGAGCCGCGCAGGACUCAGCGGGCGGAGCAGCGGGACCGCGAGCCCGCGUGGGCGCUCGGCCCGGACCAGGACCUGGGCCGCGAGGCGGGGCGACAGCGGGCUCGAGCGCCUUGGGACCGGGGGCAGGGGGGAGCAGCUCCCCCUAUCUCCCCUCCCAGGCCGGCCCAGAGUUAGACUCACCCUCCAGAGGUCAGAGAACUUGAACGGAUUAGACAGUUGACUCCUGCGCCCCCACCCCUACCCGGUUAUAUAAUUCAGCUCCACAGCCUACAGUAAUGUCAGCAAGUUUUCAUUUUCCCCAUGAUAACUGCUUUGAUCCCCAUGAUAACAUCUCAAAUUCCUGACUUUUUUCCUCCAGUAAGUUUUAAUUUUUUUCAGGGACCUCUGCUGGGUGUCCCCUGCCAACACCCCAAACCCCCCCUCCCCAGGUGGUGGCCGCUGCCACUGUCUGUGGAGCACCCCAUUGCUGGGAUAAAAAAGGGCUCAUCCCUACAGAUUGGUGAAUGGGUGUGAUCUCCUCCAGAACUGGGGGCGGGCAGGUUGCCGAGGCACCCUGCGGAGCCUUGCCCCACUCUGCAAGGUCACGGUCAGGGUGAGAGAAGAGAGUUGACAGUGCCGCCUGAACUGUCCUGCAGUUCAGACCUUCUUUUACUUGAGGCCUGUUUCCCUCAGGGCUUUGUAGGUGAAAUGGGGCAGGGCCAGGCCCACCUUGGAUCUUCCAGAUAAAAUGCAGGAUACCCAGUUAAAUUUGAAUUUUGGGUAAACAACAAAUAGCUUUUUAGUAUAAGCAUGUCCCAAAUAUUGCAUAGGACAUAAUUAAACCAACUUUGUUGUUUAUCUGAGAUUCAACUUUAACUUACAUCCUGUGUUUUUAUUCGCUCAGUCUGGUAACCUGCCUUACCCCCACCUUCCCUAUAGACCUCAGGCUUUAUAUUAAUUUUAAAUCUGAAGGAGGCAGUGCCCCAGAAUGGAAAGAGCCAGAUCCACCACCUAAUAGCUGUGUGGCUUCGGACCUGUUUUUAGCCCAGACCUUCAACCUCCUUGUCUGAGCAGAAGGUUCCUCACAGGAUGGUUUAGCCAUUAACGAGACAUAGUAUGUAAAAUAUUCAGUGCACUACCUCGCACAAAAUAAACAUUCAAUAAAUGAUGACUAUAAAAUACUAACACUCAUAUUCCCUCGAAGGCACCCUUUAUUCUCUUCCCAUCUCUAUUAUAGGCUUCUUAGAAGUCAAAUAAAAGGCUUACAAUCAGAAUCUC